UGUUGUAUUUUAUUAACAUAUAACAUAUAAACCUUUUUUCUUUAUAUAUUAGAUCUGCUUCGGCAGUACCGUGCAGCACUUCUCCAAGUUAAUAAAGUAAAAACUGACCUUGAAGAACAACAACAAUCCUUUAAUACUGUAGAAAUGCAAUGUAAGAAAGAAGAGCUUGCUGAACUGGAAGACAAACUUAAAUUAAUAGACCAGGAAUUAGGUAAGACCUCAUCAAGUCAAUGCAACAUAUUACCACCUCUUUCAGAAGUACUUGAUUUGUCCGCAGCUCCAAGCCAUUCCAAAAUAGGAAGAGAACUAAAACGUCCACGCAGUUCAGAAAAAUGGGAUUCAUCUCCUAUGAAGAAAAGAAACAGCAACUAAUGAAUUAUUCCAAAAAGAGGAAGACUUAGAUUAAUUACAUUUGUUAAAAUGCAAUUGUAUAUUGAAAUGUAUAUAUUUUACAAAAAUAAUGUUACUUUCAUUGAUACUUUUUUAUUCAGAAAUGAAUUGUUCUUAUUAAUAAGAGCUGACUUAUUUUUAACAUCAUAUUUUUGUUGUGUAUCAAUUAUUAUAUUUCAAGUUAUGAAAAUAUAACUUUUUUUACAUAUGAACAUUUUAAAAUUUGACAAUAAAGUUUGGAAUGACAUUCCUUUUCCUAGUAUA